rnacentral:rRNA from 1 species
CAGCAGCCGCGGUAAUACCGGCGGCCCGAGUGGCGGUCACUAUUAUUGGGCUUAAAACGUCCGUAGCCGGGUUGGGAAGUCCUCCGGGAAAUCUGGCCGCUUAACGGUCAGAAUGCCGGAGGAUACUCCCAGCCUAGGGAGCGGGAGAGGCCGAGGGGAUUCCCGGGGUAGGGGGGAAAUCCUAUAAUCCCGGGAGGACCACCGGUGGCGAAGGCGCUCGGCUGGAACGCGUCCGACGGUGAGGGACGAAGGCCAGGGGAGCAAACCGGAUUAGAUACCCGGGUAGUCCUGGCUGUAAACGAUGCGGACUUUGUGUCGGACAAGCUAUGAGCUUGUCCGGUGCCGGAGGGAAACCGUUAAGUCCGCCGCCUGGGGAGUACGGCCGCAAGGCUGAAACUUAAAGGAAUUGGCGGG